CGGGGCGGUAGGUGGCGCUGUGUGUGGUUUCCACAUCCGCCAUUAAAGCAGAGAAACUUCCGCUCCAAACUUUUGCCGCGUGCUGUGAGAAAAACAACAUGGAGGCUGAUAAUAGCAACGAGACAACAACGAACGGGAACCGGUCCAAAGCCGAGAUACUGAGAGGACUCCUCGCGGAGAAACUGAGCGCGGCCGGGCAGGACAUCUGCGCCGCGGUGGAGACGACCUGCGCCGGCUACGAAGAGGAGGCGUCGGCCCUGAAGGAGGAGAACGAGCGGCAGAGGAAGAGGCUGACGGCUCUCCUGCAGCCAGAGAUCAAGCUGGAGACAGUAGGAAUGGAGGAAUCGUCCCCCGUCGUCUGCGAGCCGGCCGGCGCAGGACGAGGAAGACGAAGGCGACGAGGAAAGCGAACACGAGGACCUCCGGAUGACGAAGACAAGCAGGACACAAACGAGCCAAGCGUGACACAAUGAAUAAAGUUGAUUCUGAUCAGUUUUUUAGUUUCUGACGCUUCAGGUAAUUUCAACUUUUCAUUCACAUCGAAUUUGAACAUCGACCGUCGUUAUUUCCUCUCGGGUCAAACGUUGACCCGUUUUCAACGACUUGUACAUCAGAAAUACGGGGUUAGUUUAAACCAAACUGCACCCAAAAAUAACGUGGAUGCAUGCGUGGCCUUCGCAGCCUCGUCUGUGAUUCGCUCAGCAUGCUCUGAUCUGAACUAUUAGUCAAAAUAAUUCAUAAUUUCAGCUUUUUUUUUCACACAAAAGUGCACACUUCAAAUGACAUAAAACAUUACACACACUUUCAUGAUGGUAUUUACAAUUAGGAAUGCAAAAAACGUUGCACUAAACGUAGUACAUAGUCAGGUUUCAUGUUUGUUUUUUUCGAUUGUCGCACUCCAUUCAAGAAAGCGCUAAUUUAAAGUUUCUUUGCUCGCUGACAAAAAUGUAGACUUCAAAUUGCAUAAAAUGUGACAUAACAUAAAUUGUCAUGAUGGUAUUUACAAUUCGGCAUGGAAAAGUUACACUAAACAUAGUACAUAGUCAGGUUUCACAUUUUGGUCUCCAUUCAAAAAAGCGCUAAUUUAACGUUUCUUUGCUCGCGGACAAAAAUAUAGACUUCAAAUUACAUAAAACGUUACACAACACACAGUAUCUCGAUGUUAUUACAAUUCGGCUGUAAAAAAUGUUACACUAAACGUAGUGAAUACACGUCAGGUGUCACAUUUAGUUUUUCGAUUGUCGAACUCCAUUCAAAAAAGCGCUAAUUUAACGUUUCUUUGCUCAUGGACAAAAAUGUAGACUUCAAAUUACAUAAAACGUUACACAACACACAGUAUCUCGAUGUUAUUUACAAUUCGGCUGUAAAAAAUGUUACACUAAACGUAGUGAAUACACGUCAGGUGUUACAUUUGGUUUUUCGAUGGUCGGACUCCAUUCAAAAAAGCGCUAAUUUAACGCAUCUUUGCUCGUGUACAAAAGUGCUGACUUCCAAUUACAUAAAACAUGACCUAACAUAAAAUGUCAUGAUGGUAUUUACAAUUCGGCAUGCUAAAAGUUACACUAAACAUAAUACAUGAGUCAGGUUUCACGUUUUGGUUUUUUCAAUUGUCGGACUCCAUUCAAAAAAGCGCUGAUUUAACGUUUCUUUGCCCGCUGACAAAAAUGUAGACUUCAAAUGACAUAAAAUGUUACACAACACACAUUAGCACGAUGUUAUUUACAAUUCGGCUGUAAAAAUGUUACACUAAACGUAGUGAAUACACGUCAUGUGUCACAUUUGGUUUAUUGGGAAUACAGAUGUGCAAACAAACAUUCACACACACAUUCUUCAAAACAAAGAAAAUAAUUGAAGGGCUUUCUUGUCGUCAGCUGGUUUCAGCGUUUGGUCUUUAAAUAGCUGCAUUUGUACAAAAUAUAUGUUGUUGUUGUUUUUAACCGAAACCCCAAACUUGUAUGGCUGCUUUGUUGUUGUCUCUCGCCGGACAUCAUUUGUAAUAUUUACUAAUAAAAUGAUAUUUUUAUGAUGUAUACGUUUUCAAGUGUAUUUCAUUCAUAUGUAUAAAGCACUUUUAAAAAGCAUGAAUGUGACCAAAUGUGGGAAUAAAAGGUAAUUAAAAGACAAGAU
ensembl:lncRNA